GACGAACGCUGGCGGCGUGCUUAACACAUGCAAGUCGAACGGUGAUGCUCCAGCUUGCUGGAGUGGAUCAGUGGCGAACGGGUGAGUAACACGUGAGCAACCUGCCCCAGACUCUGGAAUAAGCGCUGGAAACGGCGUCUAAUACUGGAUACGAAACUGGCCCGCAUGGGCUUGGUUUGGAAAGUUUUUCGGUUUGGGAUGGGCUCGCGGCCUAUCAGCUUGUUGGUGAGGUAAUGGCUCACCAAGGCGACGACGGGUAGCCGGCCUGAGAGGGCGACCGGCCACACUGGGACUGAGACACGGCCCAGACUCCUACGGGAGGCAGCAGUGGGGAAUAUUGCACAAUGGGCGAAAGCCUGAUGCAGCGACGCCGCGUGAGGGAUGACGGCCUUCGGGUUGUAAACCUCUUUCAGCAGGGAAGAAGCGAAAGUGACGGUACCUGCAGAAGAAGCACCGGCUAACUACGUG
rnacentral:rRNA from 1 species